rnacentral:snRNA from 1 species
AUCCUUGUGCAAGGGCAUUACGCAUUCAAUGAGGAUUCGUCCGAGAUUGUGUUUUUGCUGGUUGAAAAUUAUACCAUGACCACUCCUUAGUUUUAUCUUUUUUAAAGAGGAAACUAAGGGAAUUUUUGGAACUGCAUUAU